AGCAGCCGCGGUAAUUCCAGCUCCAAUAGCGUAUAAUUAAAGUUGUUGCAAGUUAAAAAGCUCGUAGUUGAAUUUCGGGAUUAGUACGUCGGUCGUGCCUUCGGUACGUACUGGUGUUACUGAUUCCUACCUUCUGACGAACCAUCAUGUCAUUAAUUUGGUGUGUCGGGGAAUCAGGACUGUUACUUUAGAAAAAAAUUAGAGUGUUUAAAGCAGGCUCGCGCUUGAAUACAUUAGCAUGGAAUAAUGAAAUAGGACGUUGACCCUAUUUUGUUGGUUUCUAGGAUUGACGUAAUGAUUAAUAGGGAUAGUUGGGGGCAUUAGUAUUCAAUUGUCAGAGGUGAAAUUCUUGGAUUUAUUGAAGACUAACUACUGCGAAAGCAUUUGCCAAGGAUGUUUUCAUUAAUCAAGAACGAAAGUUAGGGGAUCGAAGACGAUCAGAUACCGUCGUAGUCUUAACCAUAAACUAUGCCGACUAGGGAUCGGAUGAUGUUAUUUUAAUGACUCAUUCGGCGCCUUA
rnacentral:rRNA from 1 species